GUGACUUCAUCCUACCACAUCCUAUCACUUGAGUCACAAUAAUUCUCCUUUUUUUAAAAAACUGCCAAAUGGCCUUACUAAACCAACACUACUGAAAACACUGGAAUGUGUUUGGCAAAUAGAUUCUAAGAGAAACAAACUAACACAGAAGAAAUUAGCCAAGCAUGUCUUUGAAUUCUAUCCUGUAUUCGGGAAUUCUAAAACUGGUCAACGAAAACCCAGGCUAUAUUUAAAGUUUGAGAUGUAUACCAUUGUAUUUAAAAAGGCUGUUGAAGAAUGGGCUCAGUACCUUUUGUAGAAGAAGAACAUGCAAAAGUUGAAAAGGAUAGCUUUCGCCACUAUAUAUUAAUGGUCAAAGCUAUGCCAACUUAAGUUUUCAUACAACUGUUAUGUUAUGCUAUCAUUAGUGCAUAAUUACUACAGUGAUUGUUUACAGAUUUCUUUAUGUAUAUGUGUACAAAUAUGAAAAAUUUAGAGACAGGUGAAACAAAGAUGGAGUUUACCUUCCAUGUUCCUAAAGGAUAUUUAUAUCUGAAUUGAUUAAAAUAAUAAUAAAUGUUCAUCCUUUCAAUUUUA